AUUGAACGCUGGCGGCAGGCCUAACACAUGCAGGUCGAACGGUAGCAGGAAGAAGCUUGCUUCUUCGCUGACGAGUGGCGGACGGGUGAGUAAUGUCUGGGAAACUGCCUGAUGGAGGGGGAUAACUACUGGAAACGGUAGCUAAUACCGCAUAACGUCGCAAGACCAAAGAGGGGGACCUUCGGGCCUCUUGCCAUCGGAUGUGCCCGGAUGGGAUUAGCUUGUUGGUGGGGUAACGGCUCACCAAGGCGACGAUCCCUAGCUGGUCUGAGAGGAUGACCAGCCACACUGGAACUGAGACACGGUCCAGACUCCUACGGGAGGCAGCAGUGGGGAAUAUUGCACAAUGGGCGCAAGCCUGAUGCAGCCAUGCCGCGUGUAUGAAGAAGGCCUUCGGGUUGUAAAGUACUUUCAGCGGGGAGGAAGGGAGUAAAGUUAAUACCUUUGCUCAUUGACGUUACCCGCAGAAGAAGCACCGGCUAACUCCGUG
rnacentral:rRNA from 1 species